ensembl:lincRNA Gm26601 predicted gene, 26601
AGACACAAUCACUGUCAUUUUUUUUUUUUCAGAGAGGCAUGAUGGCCUCUGCUUGGAGUAUGGACGCUCUUUUAUAUCCAAGAGCUCGUCUUUCGUAUAGCAAUGGGGGGAUUUGGAGGUGGGCAGUUUCUUCAGGUCAAGAAAAGCAUCUCCAUUUUCUGUUUCAUCCACACUUCUCUUCUUCAUGGCUUCUUGGUAUACAUUUUUUUUUGCACCUUUAAUUAUCUUUAAUACAAAGGGAAACCAAAAUAGUCACUGCCACCCACGAGAAUUGGCCAGGCAGUGGUGGUGGUGGUGAAGUUUCCUGGAAUAGAGGUAGGACUAGUUGGGCUGCUGGAAAGUGCCUGUCACUUAUGAACGGAUCGCACCAGCUACUCUACUCCUUUACCCCAGUGUAAGGGGCUGGGAAACUGAGUGUACCUCUCUCAGUCGACCACACUUGCGGCCACUGGUCAUCUCUGGGAAACUCUGCUCCUUAAACGAACCCCUAGUCCCUCACCCAGACCUCGGGUUAGAGGCUCCUCCGGAAGUAGGGCAGGGACUGUACUUACCGAGGGAGGCGGGCCAUAGGCCGCCCACGAGCUUCUGCUCCCCACCUCCCGCGCGCCCUGCUGCCCGUGCCUGCGCUUCUGGGGCAGCGCGCCUGUGCUUGCACUCUGGCCAGGGCCCAAGCUUGCGGUACCCUUGCUCCGAGCGCCCGCGGACGGCGUCCCUGCGCCUCUGUCACCGUGUCCCCUGAUGCCUGCUCCAAUGUCAAAUUGUGUCUCUUCUCUUUUGAAAGAAGAUAAUGUUUUAUGGUUAAAGGGGCACAUAUCCAAUAGAUCUCAUAUCGCUUACUGCUUUCUCCUCCAGAGGAGAAUCUUGUGACAUGGGUGGAGGGAAUUCCAAACCCAUGGAAAUCAUUUCCAGUCUCAAACAAGCUUAAGUGAGUCAAGGAGAGACUAACAGGCACUUAAUGAAAACUUGAGUGAUCAGUUUGCCUGGAAGACACAGCUCCCCUGGGUGUUAGGUCCGAUGCUGAUGGGAUGAGGAAGUAGAACGAGGAAGUGCAGAAGCUGUUGAGUAGAUAAUUUCUAGGCUGGUGUGCCAGUUAUUUUUCUGUUGCUGAGGUGAUAUAUCAUAGGGAAAGCAAUUUAUAAAAAGUGUUUAAUUUGGCUUAAGGUUUCAAAGGGUUAGAGUCCAUGAUGGGGUUCAGAGGCAGUGACUAAAAAGCUGAGAGCUCAUGUCUUGAUCUACAAUCAUAAGGAUGAGAAUGCACAUGUAAAUGAGCACUGGGAUUAGCACAAGUCUUUUGAAACCUCAAAGCCUUCCCUCAACACCUCCUCCAACAAGGCUACGCCUCUAAUCUUUCCCAGUCCGUCCCACCAAAUGGGGACUAAAUAUUGAACUAUAUGAGCCUAUGGGGUCAUUCUUAUCCAAACCACCACAGCUAGUGUGCAUGCCCAUGUGUGUGUAAUGCUUGUCUUAUCCCUGUGUUUCAAUAUAUGUGUGCUUGAGUGUUUCUAGAGGACUCUCCCAUGCUUGCUGUAACAUUGACCAGCAAAUGAACAAAAAAGCUGAAUCUUGUUAAAUAAAAUCACCCCAAUAUUGGUGUCUUAUAGUUAAACCCAUCUUGUCUACAUCUAUGCUGCUUACAAAAAGGGUAGUAGUCAUACAACUGUGAUGACUGACAGUUUUCUCCUACAGCCCUGAGAUGCAACAGAGUAUCACGGGUGUGUUCUUUGUCAGCCUGUGGUAUAUUUGAGGGUCUGAAAUGCAAGCAUUCAUAUGCACAUGUGAGCAGGUGGGUGCUUGUGCAUAUGUGCAUCUAUAUGCAAGGGUCCUUCUGCCAUAUUGGCGAGACAUUGAAGCCACCACACAGAGAGAAGUGACUCUUUAGCCAUUUGAAGAUAAAGAAGGGUUCAGGUGGAUGCAGCCUUUGCCUUUGUGAGUACACUGAUGAUUCUGGGGUGGAUGGUACUUCUUUGUGCAAAAGGGACCUAGAAUGCAUGGGGAGGAAGUGCUGAGUUACCAACUUGGGUCGGGGUGGAAGGGUGGUCUCUAAAUGAAUGUAUUAUUCUUCUACCUUCUAAGAGUCGCUCUGCCUGACACCCACCCCCUCUGUCUGAUUAGUACUCUCUGCUUAUUCCACUGAAAGAAAAACUGGUUAGGUUGCAGGCUUGGAGAUUAUUUGGAACCUGUCAUAUGACAGGUAGAGAUGUUCCUGACCACCCUAAACAUUUCAAAAAGGGAAUACAUUAAUGUAAUUUUUUUCUUUUAGAGAUGAUCAUAACUGUCCUAUCUUAUUCUGUCUGAAUAGUUGAUCUUGGUUGGUAACUAGGUGGGUGUAUAGUUGUUGGGAAGCAUCUGCAAGCAGGUACAGUACCAAUAGUAACCACUAUGGGUGCUGUGGCAACAUAUCUUUCUCAUUUACUGAGAUAUGCUAGGCAGUAGCCAACCCAGGCCUGGUAUCCUAGACUUUAUCCCAAAGCAGCUUCAUAUUGCUUGUCCUCUCAAGGCUGUGUUCUUCUUGUCUUAGAGCAGGAAAAACUAAACUGUGUAGCUUUUGCAGAAGGUCAGCUAUCUGUGGACAUGAGUGUGGGCUUUGUAGAUGUGUGUGUGUGUNNNNNNNNUCUCACACACACACACACACACACACACCCAUAAGAUGUAUUAGAGUGAUUUAUAGGUUGUCAUCCAGCUAAAUCCAACAAUGACUGCCAAUUGAUAAGAAAGGGCAGAACAUUUGGUGGUAGUUCAGUCCACAAGGAUGGGAUAUCCUGGCUGGCUUUCAGUAUUGGAAUCCUAAAGAAGUAGGUUCUAGCUGGGCAGUGGUGUCACACGCCUUUAAUCCCAGCACUCGGGAGGCAGAGGCAGGCGGAUUUCUGAGUUCGAGGCCAGCCUGGUCUACAGAGUGAGUUCCAGGACAGCCUGGGCUACACGGAGAAACCCUGUCUUGAAAAACCAAAAAACCAAAACCAACAAAACAAUAACAACAAAAAAGGAGGUUCUAAUACUAGUAAAGGAAUGCUCUGGUAAUAGAUGAGCUUGGCAGAGUGUGAGGGCCAGGAGGAAAGGGCAAAGCUUUUUUUCUUCCAUGUCCUUUUGUGUAGACUGCCACCAAAAGAUGUGGCCCAGAUUUACGGUGGGUCUUCUUACUUCAAAUGAUACAAUCAAGAAAAUCCUUCCCAGGCAUGUCCAGAUGCUUGGAUUUUAGUUGACUCCACUGCUGUCAAUUUAGGAUUACUAAGAUUAGCUCUCACAGGUGCAAAGCUCAAUCCUCCGUGGCUUUAGAGUGGUCACUCUAACUGUAUAGAUGUUCACUAAGACGUGCAGUUUGUCACUUGGAAAUGUUUGAGUGUCUACUUUAAUCUAGCUUUGUGUAUUUUAUUUGUGAACUUGUUCCAACAAAGUGAUUAAAUUUAAUAAAGGAAUGAAACUUAGUGAUUUAGC